rnacentral:rRNA from 1 species
UACAGAGGUCCCGAGUGUUGUUCGGAUUCAUUGGGCGUAAAGGGUGCGUAGGCGGUUUGCUAAGUUUGAUGUGAAAUUCCAGGGCUCAACCCUGGCAUGGCAUUGAAUACUGGCGGACUAGAGUACUGGAGAGGAAACUGGAAUUUACGGUGUAGCAGUGAAAUGCGUAGAGAUCGUAAGGAAGACCAGUGGCGAAGGCGAGUUUCUGGACAGUAACUGACGCUGAGGCACGAAGGCCAGGGGAGCAAACGGG